GCAAGAUAGCUCAGUUGGUAGAGCAUGAGGCUCUUAAUCUCAAGGUUGUGGUUUCAAGUCCCACCUUGGGCA